rnacentral:rRNA from 1 species
GAUGAACGCUGGCGGCGUGCUUAACACAUGCAAGUCGAACGGAAAGGCCCAAGCUUGCUUGGGUACUCGAGUGGCGAACGGGUGAGUAACACGUGGGUGAUCUGCCCUGCACUUCGGGAUAAGCCUGGGAAACUGGGUCUAAUACCGGAUAGGACCACAUUUUGGAUGGUGUGGUGGAAAGUUUUUCGGUGUGGGAUGAGCUCGCGGCCUAUCAGCUUGUUGGUGGGGUAAUGGCCUACCAAGGCGUCGACGGGUAGCCGGCCUGAGAGGGUGUACGGCCACAUUGGGACUGAGAUACGGCCCAGACUCCUACGGGAGGCAGCAGUGGGGGAUAUUGCACAAUGGGCGCAAGCCUGAUGCAGCGACGCCGCGUGGGGGAUGACGGCCUUCGGGUUGUAAACUCCUUUCGCUAGGGACGAAGCGUUAUGUGACGGUACCUGGAGAAGAAGCACCGGCUAACUACGUG